UACCCUGGUGCGCACAUUCCCUCCUGUAA
rnacentral:piRNA from 1 species